UACGUAGGGUGCCAGCGUUGUCCGGAAUUAUUGGGCGUAAAGAGCUCGUAGGCGGUUUGUCGCGUCUGCUGUGAAAACGCGAGGCUCAACCUCGCGCCUGCAGUGGGUACGGGCAGACUAGAGUGCGGUAGGGGAGAUUGGAAUUCCUGGUGUAGCGGUGGAAUGCGCAGAUAUCAGGAGGAACACCGAUGGCGAAGGCAGAUCUCUGGGCCGUAACUGACGCUGAGGAGCGAAAGCGUGGGGAGCGAACAGG
rnacentral:rRNA from 1 species